GACGAACGCUGGCGGCGUGCCUAACACAUGCAAGUAGAACGCUGAAGAGAGGAGUUCGCGCUUCUCGGAUGAGUUGCGAACGGGUGAGUAGCGCGUAGUUUACCCUCCUCGUAGGGGGGGAUAACGAUUGGAAACGAUAGCUACUACCGCAUAACAAUGGAUGACACAUGUCAUUUAUUUUAAAUGGGCAAUUGCUGCACUACAAGACGGACCUGCGUUGUAUUAGCUAGUGGGUCAGGUAAUGGCCUACCUAGGCGGCGAUACAUAGACGACCUGGGAGGGUGAUAGGCGGCCCGGGGACGGGGACAGGGCCAAGAGGACUACGAGACGCAGCAGAAGCGAAUGUUAGGCAAUGGGGGCGACCCUGACCCAGCGACGCCGAGUGAGUGGCGAAGGUUCCCGGAUCGUAAAGCUCUGUUGUAAGUUAAGAACGGGUGUGAGAGUGGAAAGUUCACACUGUGACGGUAGCUUGACAGAAAGCGACGGCUAACUACGUG
rnacentral:rRNA from 1 species